rnacentral:rRNA from 1 species
CUGGUAGCGGGGGAUAACUAUUGGAAACGAUAGCUAAUACCGCAUAAAAUUGAUUAUUGCAUGAUAAUUAAUUGAAAGAUGCAAUUGCAUCACUACCAGAUGGACCUGCGUUGUAUUAGCUAGUUGGUGAGGUAACGGCUCACCAAGGCGACGAUGCAUAGCCGACCUGAGAGGGUGAUCGGCCACACUGGGACUGAGACACGGCCCAGACUCCUACGGGAGGCAGCAGUAGGGAAUCUUCGGCAAUGGGGGGAACCCUGACCGAGCAACGCCGCGUGAGUGAAGAAGGUUUUCGGAUCGUAAAGCUCUGUUGUAAGAGAAGAACGGGUGUGAGAGUGGAAA